AAUGCGACAAGGAUAUUUUGGCGCGUGGCCCAAAUCGGAACUAACACCGCCAUCUUGUGAAGUGUCACGCUGAGUUUUUUUUUGCUGACAGCCUUUGUUCUACAAGUACGCCCCUCUGUCAAUGUCAUUCAAGUGCCAAAAGAUCCUUGUCGUACUUAAGGUUUUUAGAGAUAGUUUGCA